AUGGGGCUCGAACCCACGAACUGUGAGAUCAUGACCUGAGCCUGAGCCGAAGUUAGAUGCUUAACCGACCGAGCCCCCCAGGCGCCCCCAGCAUCUGUCUUUAUGCCCCAAUUUCCCAGCUCACAGACAGUGAGAGACACAUAACCUGUCUUUCUUCCCGCGUUGGGUUCGGAGACAAGGAAAUCGGACUAUCCUGCAAGUAUAAAUGCCCUCUGGCUCAGAGCUAACUCCUCCAGUGGUCAAAUUUGGGCCAAGGCCUGGGCAAACCAUAAAUGUUGCAAACACAGUGCUACCGGCACUCUUCAUGCAUUGAUGUAUUUAAUCCGUACAACAACCCACUCGUGGCUGUUAUCGUCACCACUACACAGACGAACUGAGAGGCACAGAGAGGUUCAAUAACUUUCCCAAGGCCACAGAGCUGGUAAGUGGAUUUAAACCCAGGCAGCUCUAGAGCUGGUCUCUUAGCCAGAGCCGAAGAGGUCUUGCCUCACCAAGGGUCCCUAUCCCCAGGGCUCCAUCACCCACACAUGCUCAUGACACUACCCAUGCCGCAGAAACAGCAUCCCAAGGUUAAAGGCAUCCAAUAAGAACCAUUUUGUCAUGCCGAGGGAUUCUGUGGGUCGAGACUUGCGUGGGGUAAACUGGGGAUGGAUGGCAGGCUCAGCGGGGAAGACGUGCGUCAUCCGGGGCUGGGGUCAUCUGGAGGCUUCCGGACUCUCAGUUCCCGGCCUGGGAUGACGAGAAGGCUGGGUUCGGCUGCGAUGUUAGUGGCGUGGGCUUCUCACAGCACGGUGACUGACACCUGAGCAGGAGCGAGCACGCCAAGGGGGAAUAUUCCAGGAGAACCAGGCAGAAGCUUCGGGACCUGUUCUGACCUAACCUCAGAAGUCCCGGGGCGUCGCUUACUGCCACGUGCUAUUAGUUACAAGGCAGCCGGAGGCUGGGAGAAAGAGACUCCAUUUCUCAGCAAGGGCGUGACAAGGUCACGUUGCAGGAGUGCCUGAGGGAGGGGAGAGAAUACUGUGGAAAACACAGCUUGCCUAGCCCGGGCCUGCCUACUGCAGAAACUUCUUUGCCCCAAUUUGAGUGACCUCAUCCUGAAGGUAUUCACUUCUCACUUUGGUUGUCUUGUUGUUCCUGUGAGUGAGGAACCACCUUUGACUGGUAAUGUGAGCAUUUUGCAGGUGGACUGGGUGACCCAAAAUGGCGACCCAACUAGAGAAGGCUCAACCGGUCCUGACAGCGGCCUCUGUCUCGUGUUGCGCCAGAGUCUUACCUGGUAGUUGGGCCAUAGAAGACAACGAUGGCACUACUUUUCAUCAGUACUGUACUACGCCUGACCGAAAACUCUUCUCCAGUUGUAUUGUUUGGGGACUCGUUGAGAACAUGGGUUCAAGGCCCAUCCACAGAGUCUGGUUGAAUUGUCUGGGGCCGGGAAGCAUUGAUUUUUUUUUUUUCUAGGGUCCACAGGUAAUGCUGUUGGACACCUGAGCUGGAGAACACCUGUCUUAGAUGAAGACCUUUGUGACUCUUGGCUUAGACCACCUUCUACCUCCAGAGGCCAAGUAGGGCAAGAUCAAAACGAAUGACGUAUCUGUUGAAGUGCUAGGGAGGCCACCUUCACUUUGACCAAGAACCUCUGGAUCCUGUUUGCUGCUGUCACUGGCCGUGUGGCCUUGGGCAAGUUAUUUUAACCUCUCAUGUGCAUCCCACCAUUUUGAAACACUCACCGCCACUAGAUGGGUUUUUCCAGGGAGUGAGGUUGCAUCCUGUUCCCAAUUCAGUAAUAACUGGGAGUAUUGCUGCAAAGCUUUGAAGCCUUCCCCACCCCACCUCAAACACACGCAUGUACACAAACACACACACACACACACACACACACACACACACACGCCUCUCUGGAUGGCCUCCUCACUCCCACAGGAUCCUACACAGAGUAGAUGCUCAAACCUUGCACCUUGGCUUGAGAUAACGUGGCUCUGAUCACCUGGGGUAGAAAGGGGCACAGCUGGCUUUGCUGAGGACACUCAGGAAACAUGCAGAGCUUCUGGGUCAUUGGAAUCUUCUAGAAGCUCACUUAGUCCCACAUGAGUCCCAGAUGAGUCUCCUCCUCAUCUUCUGCCAGGAAAUGAAGCUCUUCUCUUCCAGGGAAGGCUGUCAGUGCCAAGCUCACCUUUGCUCCAUUUGCAACCGCCCUGGGCAACUGGAGGCUGCACUGCCCCCUAGAGGCUUGGGGCAUUUUGUCCCCAAAGUUUUUAUGGUAGAGAUCCUUUUGUUUCUCUAACUUUUAAUACUAUAAAAUAUUUUCUUUUUA